rnacentral:rRNA from 1 species
GACGAACGCUGGCGGCGUGCUUAACACAUGCAAGUCGAACGGAAAGGCCCCUUCGGGGGUCCUCGAGUGGCGAACGGGUGAGUAACACGUGAGUAACCUGCCCUUGACUUCGGGAUAACCUCAGGAAACUGGGGCUAAUACCGGUUAGGAAUCCUUGCUGCAUGGUGGGGGGUGGAAAGCUUCUGCGGUUUUGGAUGGACUGGCGGCGUAUCAGCUUGUUGGUGGGGUAGUGGCUUACCAAGGCUUUGUCGGGUCGCCGGCCUGAGAGGGCGACCGGCCACAUUGGGACUGAGAUACGGCCCAGACUCCUACGGGAGGCAGCAGUGGGGAAUAUUGCACAAUGGGCGGAAGCCUGAUGCAGCAACGCCGCGUGCGGGAGGACGGCCUUCGGGUUGUAAACCGGUUUCAGCAGGGGCGAAGCUUGUGGUGACGGUACCUGCAGAAGAAGCACCGGCUAACUACGUG